rnacentral:rRNA from 1 species
CAGUAGCCGCGGGAAUACGAAGGGGGCUAGCGUUGCUCGGAAUGACUGGGCGUAAAGGGCGCGUAGGCGGCGAUCAAAGUCAGGUGUGAAAUUCCUGGGCUCAACCUGGGGGCUGCGUUUGAUACUUGAUUGCUAGAGUGGGGAAGAGGGUCGUGGAAUUCCCAGUGUAGAGGUGAAAUUCGUAGAUAUUGGGAAGAACACCGGUGGCGAAGGCGGCGACCUGGUCCUUGACUGACGCUGAGGCGCGAAAGCGUGGGGAGCAAACAGGAUUAGAUACCCCUGUAGUCCCUGUCUCUUAUAC